rnacentral:ncRNA from 1 species
UAGUCUGCCAUACGCAGGAAGACCCGCUGAACUGAAGCAUCUCAUUAAGCGGAGGAAAAGAAACUAACUAGGAUUCCCUUAGUAAAGGCGAUCGAAAAGGGAACAGCCCAACGUCUUAAUCCCGCAAGGGAAAUGUAGUCGGUUCACCUAUUGCACUGGUCUAAGUCAGAUGGAAUGCUGCGCGAUUCAGAGUAAAAGCCUCGUAUGACCAACCGCAAGCUUACGAUGGACCGGGGAGAGUCGGAUACUUUGAGAGUAGUGUCUUAAGGGGGUGGUAUGUCCCAUCCAAGGCUAAAUAACGUGAGGAGACCGAUAGAUUACAAGUAGUGUGAACGAAAGAUGAAAAGAACUCUAAAACAGAGGGUGAAAAGUUCCUGAACUUGCUUAGGGUUAAGGCUAUUUAUAGUACCCGUCUUGAAACACGGAUUAGGGAGUUUAUCUGUAGUGCGAGUCUUUGCACGUUAACUGUAAAGGCGUAGAGAAAGCAACUGGCGUUUGCAUGGCUACUGAGCAUUACUGAUAGGACCCGAAAGGUGGUGAACUUUGCCUGCACAGGUUGAAGUCAGGGAAACUCUGAUGGAGGACCGUACGGGUUAUUGAUGUGCAAAUCAUUUUUCUGAUGUAGGUAAAGGUGCGAAAGACUCAUCGAACCACCUAAUAGCUGGUUUCCUCCGAAGUUUCCCUCAGGAUAGCUGUAAUGCAUUUAGUUAAGGGGAGUAGAGAUAUGGGUAGAGGUGCAGGGAGCCUUCGGGUUCUCAACUUAUUUCCAAACUUCGAACCUCCUUGUUAGGCAUUUACCUAACUGGAAAUGCUUAAAUGAAUUAGCGUUACAAGUGGGCUCUGACCGGUAAGCGGUCAUGGCGAAAUGGGAUGAACCAUACGUCUGAAUAAGGUGCCGAAAUGUACUAUCACUGAUACCAUAAAGGGAGUCCAUGUAUUUAGACAGCAGGUCGGUGCCCCUAAAAGCAGGUAUCCGCUAAAGAGUGUGUUAAAACUCACCUGCCGAAUACUAGGGCCCCGAAAAUGAAUGGCGCAUAUAGUACUACCGAUCUCAGACAUCAGUUCUAUUGAACUGAGAGUAGGGGGAUGUGGACAUUUUUGUGAAGGUGCAAUGUGAGUUGGACUGGAAGAAUGUCUAUUACAGAUCCUAAUUGAAGUAGCGAUUAUCCAGGCUUGUAUCCUGGGGGCUGAUGAGGAGUAGGGUUUCUGGACAACUUAAACAGAUCCAGAGUUAGUCGAUCCUAAUCUCAAUAAUGGGAGAAAGGGAGUACAGU